GCGACCCCAAGUCAGGC
rnacentral:rRNA from 1 species